UACGUAGGGAGCAAGCGUUGUCCGGAAUCAUUGGGCGUAAGCGCGCGUAGGUGGCUUCGUAAGUCCGUUGUGAAAGUCAAAGGCUCAACCUUUGAAAGCCGAUGGAUACUGCGGAGCUAGAGUCGGAAGAGGCGAGUGGAAUUCCUGGUGUAGCGGUGGAAUGCGCAGAUAUCAGGAGGAACACCAUAGCGAAGGCAGCUCGCUGGGACGUUACUGACACUGAGGCGACGAAAGCGUGGGGAGCGAACAGG
rnacentral:rRNA from 1 species